rnacentral:lncRNA from 1 species
CAUGAUUUUUCUGUUUGAAUGUAAAUAUGCUUGAUCUCUUUAUAGUGCGUAAAGUUCAUGAUGUCUUAAAAUAAAUUAAAAUAUCGGUGUGUUCUGUUUUAAAAACUCUUCAAUUAAAUUAUAAUCAUUAUACCAUCUCUUAAGUCUAUCGGUGUGUUUUGUUUGUCCUUUUAGCAUGUAUAGUAAUGAGGUCACAAAAACAAGUUGCUAAUCAUUAAAUUCGAAUUACUUUUAUAAAACCUUUCAUGAUAGUAAAAGGAAUUUUAUCUUUUUUGUACCAUGGUAGAGUUUUUUGUUUUUUUAAGAUAAUCUAGUGGUUAGAAUUUCACUUUUAAAGUGGUUAAAAGAGAUGUCCAGGGUUCAAAUCAUGGUCCCUACAUAUAAAAUGUGAUGUCUCUACUAACUGAG